GAAGAAAUAAGAAGCACGACAAAUCUUAAGAGUAACUUUGAUCUUCCAGGAUUUGCAGUUCACCUUCUGGACUAAAGUGCUUGAAGAAGUUUGGCUAAUGCUUUAUGUACCACAUGGUACCAAAUUACUGCAGCAGAGAUUGGGAAACUUCUCUUUAGCGGGUCUGGUUUAUGGUUAUGCUAAAAAUAGAGGUGAAAUGUGUAACUCAUUUCAAGAACAAUUUCUUCACUGAGAUCACAGGAUCAUUUAAAGCUGUCCAAACACUUAGGUUUGAAGUGGUUCACCACACCGUGGUCACAACUCCAGAAGUGUUGGAUGAUCAUCAGACAUCACUCCUGCCUAGCAAAGAAAUGCAAACAUCCUUACCAUCAAGAAGGCUAGGUGGGGUAGUACUGAAGGUAGGUUGU